GGGGUUUUAGCUUAAUUAAAGUGUCUGAGUUGCAAUCAGUUGAUGUAAAUAAGAAUUUUACAGGCCCU
rnacentral:tRNA from 1 species